rnacentral:rRNA from 1 species
UAAUACGGAGGGUGCAAGCGUUAUCCGGAAUCACUGGGUUUAAAGGGUGCGUAGGCGGCUUAGUAAGUCAGUGGUGAAAGACUGUGGCUUAACCAUGGAAUUGCCAUUGAUACUGCUGAGCUUGAAUCAGGUUGAGGUUGGCGGAAUGUGACAUGUAGCGGUGAAAUGCUUAGAUAUGUCAUGGAACACCGAUUGCGAAGGCAGCUGACUGGACCUGUAUUGACGCUGAGGCACGAAAGCGUGGGGAGCGAACAGGAUUAGAUACCCUGGUAGUCCACGCCCUAAACGAUGCUUACUCGUUGUUUGACACUCCGCAGCAAUGCGGAAGUUGAGUGACUUAGCGAAAGCGAUAAGUAAGCCACCUGGGGAGUACGACCGCAAGGUUG